UGGGAGAUCGUCUAACGGUAGGACCUCAGAUUCUGGAUCUGAUUAUCUUGGUUCGAAUCCAAGUCUCCCAGCAA
rnacentral:tRNA from 2 species